rnacentral:rRNA from 1 species
GUGGAUUAGAUACCCUGGUAGUCCACGCCGUAAACGAUGGAUACUAGCUGUUGGGAGCAAUCUCAGUGGCUAAGCGAAAGUGAUAAGUAUCCCACCUGGGGAGUACGUUCGCAAGAAUGAAACUCAAAGGAAUUGACGGGGGCCCGCACAAGCGGUGGAGCAUGUGGUUUAAUUCGAUGAUACGCGAGGAACCUUACCAAGGCUUAAAUGUAGUUUGACAGAUUUGGAAACAGAUUUUUCUUCGGACAAAUUACAAGGUGCUGCAUGGUCGUCGUCAGCU